rnacentral:pre_miRNA from 2 species
AGGCGGAGACUGGAGCAAUUGCUGGGUUUCCCGUGAAGCAUUGCACUUGUCUCGGUCCGA